rnacentral:rRNA from 1 species
CUCAAAGAUUAAGCCAUGCAAGUGGUUAUUACAUAACCCGACAGUUUAAAUAAGUGUUACAAUGCUCACUAGCUUCGGACACACACACAUCACUUAUGCAACUGCAGACAGCUGCUUAAUACAGUCACACUUGUCUUGACUUGGUAUGACACACCCACUAUCUACGGAUAACUCAGGGAAAGUUUGGCUAAUACGUACGAGACACACAUCACUUACUCAGCACUCAAUGGUUAUAGCAGGCGAGACACAUUGAGCACGGCAUAUCUUUGGCUGAGCAGACUUUGCGAAGUUUACUUCUGCGAAGCAUGUCAUACAAGCAUCUACAGCAUCAAGUCACAGGGUUGGCAAGUGUAUUUUUGAACCUUCAAAGCAGUCACGCAUACGGAAGAGUAGUUUCUGAUCCCAUAGAAGGAGCACCGUACAAUGAGAGACUGCUCUUAGUUCUAAGGAACGCAGCAGGCGCGCAAAUUGCCCAAUGCUAGUACCCUACAGCAUAGCACUAUUUAUUCAUGUCACACACAUAUCCUUGUUCACUGUGAGGCAGUGACAAGCUGUAACGGUUGAGUAUAAUUUAUGACGAGUGUCUGGCAUUGCCGCUCCUUCGGGAGCUUGGCAUUGUUGCCGACGCUUUGUGUGCUCAAUUGGAAUGCGGUGAGUUUAAGCAUCUCAGAACCUACGGAUAAUUUAUAUAUUGUCUGUGUAUCUGAAUUUUAAGUGGAGGGCAAGUCUGGUGCCAGCAGCCGCGGUAAUACCAGCUCCACUGGCCUAUACAAUCAUUGUUGCGGUUAAGAGGCUCGUAGUUGGACUGAACUGCAGAUACAUAUCAUAUCUGUAAUACUCGACACACGGCAGACCUGAUACUGAUUUCAACACUGUGAACAAAUCAGAGUGUAUCAAACAUGUCGUUUUAACUGAAUGUGCAUUGAAUGUCUUAUCAUGGGAUGUUGCACCCGCACAUACACACAGUUACUUGAUGUCGAUGGGGAUAGUUGGAGUCAACAGUACUGCUGGGCGAGAGGUGAAAUUCAUUGACCCUAGCAAGACUACCUAAAGCGAAAGCAGUUGGCUAGGCUAUACUCCUUGUGUCAUUACACACACUGACACUUUACAAUGAAGAACGAAGGUUGGGGGAUCAAAGAGGAUCAGAUACCCUCGUCGUCCCAUUAAUUACAUCAAACGAUGGGCUCUCAAUUGCAUAUCACAUAUGCAAAUAUCCUCAACCUACAAAAUGACUUGGCUUGAGCUCGUAUCAUCUGUGAUACGCUCGCCAUAACUAUUUUCGUACGGUCUCGAUGGACGUUUCAUUUUCUCUCAGCGCGUCGGCACACAUGUUUCGCACACUUGAUUUUCGGAGCUUUGCGCUCAAUAACUGGUGAGAUGUAAGCACCCACACUCUCCUUCGGGUUCGAGUGAACAUGGUGUGAAGCACGCUUUAGGCACGCGCUUACUGCAGAAAUGUCUGAGACAUUGAUUUUCGGGGGUAGUAUGCUCGCAAGUGUGAAACUUGAAGGAAUUGACGGAAGGGCACCACAAGAACGCGUGGAGCAUGUGGCUUAAUUUGACUCAACGCGGGAAAUCUUACCGGGUCCAGACACACUGAGGAUUGACAGAUUACAAUAUACAGAUCUUACAUGAUUAUGUGAUAGGUGGUGCAUGGCCGUUCCUAGUUCGUGGAGUGAUCUGUCUGCUUAAUUGCGUUUCACUGACGGCUCAUAUGAUUUUAUGGUGUGUCGCGUCUCAGCUGAUCACCGCAUCAAUGAGCCUUGAAAGCAACGAACGUGACCGCAACCUCUUGUUAUUAAUUUAAACUAGAGGGACCGCUGUUACUUUCUUAAACCAGAGGAAGGUUGCGGCAAUAACAGGUCUGUGAUGCCCUUAGAUGUUCCGGGCUGCACACGUGCUACAAUGAUUAUUGCAGUGUGCAUCUCAUACACACACACCUAACCUAUGUUAGGUACAGCCUACUUUGAGAGGGAGUUAGGCAAUCAAUUAGAAGUAAUGAUUCCCAUACACAGCACACAUAUAUACGGCAUCUUUACCCGGCCCGCCUUGUUGCAGUGUCUCUGUGCGUAUUUGAUGUUUACCGUAUGUGCAAUUGUCAAUUCAUGGUGGGGACAGACCAUUGUUAAUUGUUGGUCUCGGUCUUAACUAGGAAUGCCUUGUACGGGUCUUUGGUUCAACAAACCACCCGGAAUACGUCCCUGCCCUUUGUACACACCGCCCGUCGCUCUUACCGAUGGACUUCUCUGUGAGUAUGAGGGACCGAUGGAAACUUAAACGAACAGUGUGGUCUAAAGGAAAGAGAAGUCGUAACAAGGCAUCGGUAGGUGAACCUGCAGAAGGAUCA